AAAAUAUCCCGACUCCUACAAAUCUCAGAGAACACACAUGGGAUGAGUUAUAUUUUGAAUGUGCACAAAGUUUUGAACAUCUCAAAUACGUCUCAGAUAUUAAAGUCCAGAGGUUAACUAAUGAAUUAAAAUGAAUAAUAUGCAUCAUUGAGGUUACUUCCCCAACAAAAGACGCAAAAGAGAAGGGAAGAGUUAAUUAUGCCUGUGUGUGCUGAUUCAGAUAUAUAUAAUUAGAAAAGUUGAUCAAAAGCAGAACAAAUAGUUGAAAGCAACACAGAAUGCCUGAGAGCCUUACUGCAAUAUAUUCCAUUAUGUUUUUAUACAUGGAUUGUAAUCUAUGUUUUCUUUACAUAAAGAUAUUUCCAGCAUACAUUGAUUCAGAAAAAGGUAGAAAUA